GUAAUGCGUAGGAAGCUACCCGAUAGAGGGGGAUACCAGUUGGAAACGACUGUUAAUACCGCAUAAUGUCUACGGACCAAAGUGUGGGACCUUCGGGCCACAUGCUAUCGGAUGCGCCUACGUGGGAUUAGCUAGUUGGUGAGGUAAUGGCUCACCAAGGCGACGAUCUCUAGCUGGUUUGAGAGGAUGAUCAGCCACACUGGAACUGAGACACGGUCCAGACUCCUACGGGAGGCAGCAGUGGGGAAUAUUGGACAAUGGGCGCAAGCCUGAUCCAGCCAUGCCGCGUGUGUGAAGAAGGCCUUAGGGUUGUAAAGCACUUUCAGCGAGGAGGAAGGGGUUGUAGUUAAUAGCUGCAAUCUUUGACGUUACUCGCAGAAGAAGCACCGGCUAACUCUGUGCCAGCAGCCGCGGUAAUACAGAGGGUGCAAGCGUUAAUCGGAAUUACUGGGCGUAAAGCGCACGCAGGCGGUUGGUUAAGUCAGAUGUGAAAGCCCCGGGCUCAACCUGGGAAUUGCAUUUGAAACUGGCCAACUAGAGUAUGUGAGGGGGGGGUAGAAUUCCAAGUGUAGCGGUGAAAUGCGUAGAGAUUUGGAGGAAUACCAGUGGCGAAGGCGGCCCCCUGGCACAAUACUGACGCUCAGGUG
rnacentral:rRNA from 1 species